UACGAAGGGGGCGAGCGUUGUUCGGAAUUACUGGGCGUAAAGGGCGCGCAGGCGGCCCUUGAAGUCAGGCGUGAAAGCCCCGGGCUCAACCUGGGAGGUGCGCUUGAUACUCGAGGGCUUGAGUGCGGGAGAGGAGAGUGGAAUUCCCAGUGUAGAGGUGAAAUUCGUAGAUAUCAGGAGGAACACCGGUGGUGUAGACGGCUAUCUGGACCGUAACUGACGCUGAGGCACGAAAGCGUGGGUAGCAAACAGG
rnacentral:rRNA from 1 species